rnacentral:lncRNA from 1 species
GAGAUGAAGUCUCGGUCUGUCACCCAGGCUGGAGUACAGUAGUGGUGUGAUCUCGGCUCACUGCAGCCUCUGCCUCCCAGGUUCAAGCUAUUCUUCUGCCUCAGCCUCCUGAGUAUCCGGGAUUACAGGCAUGUGCCACCACACUUGGCUAAUUUUUGUAUUAUUAAUAGAGACAUGGUUUUGCCACAUUGGCCAGGCUGGUCUCGAACUCCUGACCUCAAGUGAUCUGCCCGCCUUAGCCUUCCAAAGUGCUGGGAUUACAGGCGUGAGCCACUACACCUGGCCACAGAUUUUUUAGACCCCUCCUACAGCCAGACUUCUCCCACCAUCUAACUAACCCCUCUCCCUCACCUCCCUGCUCACAAUGCUUAUCCCUCUCCAGCAAAGAGUCUCUGCUCUGGGAGACAUUAUCUCUUCCUGUUCCCUCUACAAUACCUAACCAUCCUAUUCCUUUCUAUGCAUUUGCGUAUUUUCGUUAUUCACAUUGCAGAUGCAUUCCUCAUUUUUCUCUUCCAGCCACACUAUGCUCAGCUUUCCAUUCCAGCUCAAAUUUUUCUUCCCAAAAGCUCUUCCUUGUAAGCCCCGUUCCUGGUGAGUUCCUGGUCCAAGGGGACUGUUUUCCUCAGUUCAUUUACAGCUGUCACUGAAUUGCUCUGCUAAUACUUUAAAGCGUGUUCAGCUUUCCUCACCUGGCUGGGUACCUGCUGAGGAAGAUGUCCCUUCAAUGUUUGGUUGGAGUCUUUUGAAGCAGAACAGACCUAAGACAAAGCUGUGAAAGAGGGCCCCAAAUUAUACUCAGUAUCUCCUCCUUUUACCACUCAUUCUUCCAGAGUUCUCUCCUACCAUAUGUGCCCACCCAGAAUUUGUCCUUGCAAGGACCCUUCAACGCUCACAGCACAGCCUCAUCUUAGCCUGUUCUCUCAGGAUGCAGGUGCUUACUAGCUGGAAAACCAGUUGAUGCUACUGGGUGUGGACUGGUUUAAACCAGCGGUUCUCAACCCUGGGGCUACACACUGGAAUUCCCUGGGGGUUUUGAAAAAAAUGUGAAUGUACAGAUGUCCCCUAGACCAGCUGAAUCAGGAUCUCCAGGGUGAGGCUGCGGCCACUAUCUGUCUUCCUUUCCCAAGGUAAUGCCAAUAAACUAUUUGCCCAAGCUGGGAAGAGACCGGGGCAGCCACAUGACAGAGUAGUUAAGAGAGAGGUUCUGGAGCAACAUUGUCAGUUCAAUUGCUAGCUCUACCUGUGUCUGUGUGGUCCUGGGCCAGCCUCUGAACUUACCUGUUCCCUCCUCUGUAUGUGGGAAUAAUAUUCAUCAUAGUACCUCCCCAUGGGGCUUCCAGGAACAUCAGUUGAGUUAAUACCCAUGAAGUACUUAACAUCACAGUGUGGGCAUAUAGAAAGUGCUCAACAAAGGUUUGCUAUUUUUUUCUUUCUUUUUGAAACAGAGACAGGGUCUUGCUCUGCUUAUCCAGGCGGGAAUGCAAUGGCAUGAACAUAGCUCACUGCAACCUCGAAAUCCUGGGCUCAAGUGAUCCUCCCACCUCAGCCUACUGAGUAACUGGGACUAUAUGCGCGUGGCAUCAUGCUCAGCCAAUUUUUUAAAAUUCUUUUUAGAGGCAGGGUCUUGCUAUGUUGCCCAAGCUGGUCUCGAACUCCUGGAUUUGAGCGACCCUCUCAUGUCAGCCUCCCAAAGUGCUGGUAUUACAGGUGUGAGUCACCAUACCUAGCCAAGGUUUGCUACUAUUAUUCCUUCUCUCCAACCUUCUCCCUGUAUUCUUUCUGAACUCCCUUUCCCUAUCAAAGCCCCAUUUCAGGCCUGGUGUGGGGAAAUGCAGCACCAGGUGAGCAUGUGUUGGUGGGGAGGAUUUGGGGAGACACAUCCCCACUGCUUACUCUACCUGUGCUGGGAACUGCACAAAGAAUGGGGGUGAAGUGGGUGAGAGGCCAGUUGGGAACCCAAAAGCUGUCCUCUACAAUUCUUUUUGAAGGCUAGGGAGAUCCCACUCCUACUUCAGGCCAUGCAUUGGAACCAAAGUUGAGGUGGGGGAGAGUGGUGGCUGCACAGAUACCAUAGACAAGCCAAGACCUCCCUGCCUCGCCCUGUCCUGGCAUGAAGGCACAGGUCUGUAACUACAGCAGCUUUUCCCAGUACCAUCUGACAUUUCUUCUGAAUUUGCUUUAGCGCCUAGCAGAGCACUCCAUAAACUCUCCUAAAGUAGGUAGGAAGGGUAGGAUGGGGUAUGGGAUAUGAGGGUCAGAGGGUCAGACCAGAAAGGGUGGAUUAUUAUAAUACAAGUAGUCCUAAGAUUCUGAGGAUGGGCAGGUGUACCCUAAAAGGGAAGCAGUGGGAUUCCCAAGUAAAUACUUCAUCUACUUCACAAGUUUGCCCAAGCCCAGCUCAGGAACAGUAACAAAUGGAAAUGAGCAGGGAUGCCGGCUGUGGACAAGCAGACCCCCUAGGUAGAGUCCACCCCACCUUCCCAUUACCACAGGAAUUAUUACCUUACCACCCAUAGGGGAGGGGGUAAUUGUGGGCAAAUUUGAUGGGCCCAGUGGGACAGUCAGAAACAGCCUGCCUAGAGCCCUAAUGUACCCACCCACAUAGCUGUGACAUCCUCAGCCCAGCCAGGCUAGCCCAGGAUAUAUGGUGUGUGUAGCGCACUCUGCUAUUUUCCUCUCCUUGAAUGUCCUUGAGGACCCAGUUCAGGUGCCUCUGCUGGGACACUCCCUGUGACACUACCAGCCUUCUCUGAUCUACUCUUUCUCUUGACUCCUAAGACUUACUGUCAGGCUCUGUGGUCACCUGAUCAAUCCCAGGCUUGUGAUACCUCAUAUGCUACCUUGUACCAUUAUUUAACUUUUAGUUCAUGUGUAUAAUUUUCCUACUGAAGCAGUAGGAGCUUGAGGCCAUGGCUCCUAAAGCUUUGAAACCCAUGCAGCAACUGGAAUAGAGCUCAGCAUUCAUUCAUUCACUCACUCACUCAAUAGUUAUUGAGCACCUCCAACAUGCGAAGCACCGUGCUAGGUGCUGGGGAUUUGGCAGUGAACCAGAGAUGAAUUCUACAUUGAAGCCACUUAGUAAAUAUUUGUUAAACAGAUAGACGAGUGGAUGGAGACAUGGAUGCAUUAGUAGUGAGUGGAUAAUGUCUCUAUCUGUGGCAUCCCUUCUGCUCUAUGUUACCUCAGAGAAAAAUCUCACUUCUUUACUCUCCAUGAUCCCACAACUGUUCUGGAUGGAGGAAGUCCCAGGAAGUUUAGUCUCAACUGGAGAGUAGGGAGAGAGGAAACUAAACUCAGAGGGGUAGUACCCACUUAAAGGCAUCCAUAUGAUGAGUGCUGGGGCCAGAAGAGACUGGAACCAAUGAGUCAUAGGGUCUCAGGGUCUUCAGACAUCAUAUGGGGCUGCUACAGGGAUCUUUUCAGAGCAUCCCCUUCAACAGAUGUUCCUCAGCCUCCAUGCUAACUCUCAAUGAUGGGGCACCUGAGACAGGCAUUCCACUGCUUGCCCCUGGUGAGUUCCCUCAUUCUCACCUCUAAGUAACAUCCAAAAUAAAACCAGCCCAGCCUUGGGCCAUGAUAUCCUAACCCACAGCAUGUGCACAUGUACCCACAUCUGUGCAUAUGUGCUCUACCUCCAGAUCAAAAUAGCAACCAGGGAGAUUGGCAGAGCCUGGAGUACCAGGCUGUCUUCCCAGUUUGGGACUGGCUGAGGCACUGUGACUUCAGUGAGAGUCUGGGCCCAUCCUCAGUCUAGAAAAAGCUUAUGCAAGGAUGAGGGUAGCCUAGAGAAAGUCCAGAAAACCACACAAAUGACCACCUGUUGAUUCCAAGGCGGAGACAGAGCACUUUCUCCUUUUAAAAACAGUAUCCUCUCCUCUCACUCAAGCUUAGCCUGCUCAACUGAACAGCCAGGAAAAGCUGCUGGUGUUUGGUGAUUUGAAGGGAAGGGGGUCUGAACCUCAGAAGCUUGUCACUUACUGGGGACCCUGAUGAGUUUCUCUCUGUUGUCCUGCCUUAUCCCUAAUCUAGCUCCCUGAUCAUUUGAAUGUAACCCUAAUUGGACAAGAAUUUUCUCCCUUUCAGUAUGGACAAAAUCAACAACCAUGAAUCAGAGACUUUUAGAGGAUGGGUAGUGAAGUGGGGGAAGAACAGAACAUUGUAGAGUGAGGGGCAGAGAGGCAGGCAGUGGGCAUGGGUAGGUUCUGGUUUUGUGAUUAGUAAUAUUAUCUCUUUAAUUGAAAAAAAUAAACUCAUUUCAGAUUUGUA